GCGUGGGUCGGCCCGCUGUACUGGAUCCAGUGGGCUGGGGGACACCGCCGCCUACAUCCCCGCGGGCGGCGGACGGGUCCGGGGGGUGUGCCUCGCCUCCCGGACCGCG
rnacentral:ncRNA from 1 species